UACAGAGGGGGCGAGCGUUGUUCGGAAUUACUGGGCGUAAAGGGCGCGUAGGCGGCCUGCUAAGUCAUACGUGAAAUCCCUCGGCUCAACCGAGGAACUGCGUCUGAUACUGGUUGGCUUGAAUUCGGGAGAGGGAUGCGGAAUUCCAGGUGUAGCGGUGAAAUGCGUAGAUAUCUGGAGGAACACCGGUGGCGAAGGCGGCUCUCUGGACCGAUACUGACGCUGAGGCGCGAAAGCGUGGGGAGCAAACAGG
rnacentral:rRNA from 1 species